rnacentral:rRNA from 1 species
AGUGAACGCUGGCGGUAGGCCUAACACAUGCAAGUCGAACGGCAGCACAGUAAGAGCUUGCUCUUACGGGUGGCGAGUGGCGGACGGGUGAGGAAUACAUCGGAAUCUACUUUUUCGUGGGGGAUAACGUAGGGAAACUUACGCUAAUACCGCAUACGACCUACGGGUGAAAGCAGGGGAUCUUCGGACCUUGCGCGAUUGAAUGAGCCGAUGUCGUAUUAGCUAGUUGGCGGGGUAAAGGCCCACCAAGGCGACGAUCCGUAGCUGGUCUGAGAGGAUGAUCAGCCGCACUGGAACGGAGACACGGUCCAGACGCCUACGGGAGGCAGCAGUGUGGAAUAUUGGACAAUGGGCGCAAGCCUGGUCCAGCCAUACCGCGUGGGUGAAGAAGGCCUUCGGGUUGUAAAGCCCUUUUGUUGGGAAAGAAAAGCAGCAGGUUAAGACCCCGCUGUUCUGACGGUACCCAAAGAAUAAGCACCGGCUAACUUCGUG